rnacentral:tRNA from 1 species
GGGUUCGUGGUGUAAUGGUCAGCACACUCGGCGCGUAUUCGAGAGAUCCGUGGUUCGAGUCCCGGCGAGGGCA